UAUGAAGAACGUAGCGAAAUGCGAUAAGUAGUGUGAAUUGCAGAAUUCAGUGAAUCAUCGAAUCUUUGAACGCACAUUGCGCCCCUUGGUAUUCCAUGGGGCAUGCCUGUUCGAGCGUCAUUUGUACCUUCAAGCCUUGCUUGGUGUUGGGUGUUUGUCUCGCCUCUGCGCGCAGACUCGCCUCAAAACAAUUGGCAGCCGGCGUAUUGAUUUCGGAGCGCAGUACAUCUCGCGCUUUGCACUCAGAACGACGACGUCCAAAAGUACAUUUUUACACUCUUGACCUCGGAUCAGGUAGGGAUACCCGCUGAACUUAAGCAUAUCAAUAAGCGGAGGA
rnacentral:misc_RNA from 1 species